UACAUAUAAAAGGCCACAAUUGCGAAAAACCCCCAGCAGUUCAAACUGCUCAAAAACUGCUACUGCGUACCCUUACACGGGCCCACGUACCGGUACACAUCCCACGAAAAUGCCAAACCCGACCCUCGGGUUUGCCUCAAAACUGCCUGUGUACCGGAACACAAUCCCGUACCGGUACAACCAUCAACCCUGUACCGGUAUAGCCAUCAACCCUGUACCGGUACACAAUCCAAUGAGGGCUACCCGAGAGCUAACCAAAAAUCCGAUUUUUUCGGAUUUUGGUGCUAGGCUUCAGACCUCAAUUCUCGGGGUUCGAACCAUAGGUCGGAACAUUGUCUACGACCCACCAGAAAGUCUGGAAAAACUCAGAACACAU
rnacentral:lncRNA from 1 species